UACGGAAGGGGCAAGCGUUGUUCGGAAUCAUUGGGCGUAAAGCGCGUGUAGGCGGUCCGGUAAGUCCGCUGUGAAAGUCGGGGGCUUAACCCUCGGAUGCCGGUGGAUACUGUCGGGCUUGAGUACGGAAGAGGCGAGUGGAAUUCCUGGUGUAGCGGUGAAAUGCGCAGAUAUCAGGAGGAACACCAAUUGCGAAGGCAGCUCGCUGGGACGUUACUGACGCUGAGACGCGAAAGCGUGGGGAGCAAACAGG
rnacentral:rRNA from 1 species